rnacentral:lncRNA from 1 species
AGUCCUUAAUUCCUCUACAAGAGAAAUCCAUUUGCUCUCUGCCUCAGUCCACCGAAUUCUCUCUUGUUCAAAUUUCUCUUCAGCACUCUCCUCAUUUGUCUCUGGUAUUGCACUUAGAGGUGGAGGCAUAUUGGGCUCGCAUGAAUAUGUCAACUGCAGUAAAGAAUUUUGUCUUCGAGCUGAUGUCGAAGAAGAGUCUAUAUAAUAUUGUAACUGGUUUCUUAAAUCCUGAAUUUCUUCUAGCAACACUUCCCUCUCACCAAAAUCAUGAAAAUUUCGAAAGCGCUCCAGCUCAUCCUGAACUCUUUUCAACUCAAUCUUUGUUCUUAAAACCUCAGGAUGGUUCUCAUAUUUCUCCUUCAGAAGCUGUAGGCAAUAGGUGAGAUACAGAUGCAAAUAAAAACGUUAAUCUAAAAAACCUUAAAAGAACAAACAAACACCUUGUGCUCAUGUGUGAGGGAAGCUAGCUCUUCUUCCAUGAAUUCCUCCGUAGGUAAAACACCAUCCAUAAGGCUCUCAAGGCGAAGAAUUUUAUCUUCCCUUGUCUGCCUUAUAAUGGCGUUGCACUCUCUCUCAUGUUUGUACUGUUGCACCUGUAAAUAAUAGCCAAUAACUAUAACAUCAACAAUUCGCAACGACAAUAGCCACCAUUAGCUGCAAGUAAAAUUACUAAGAAACCUACCAAACGGUUUAACUGCAUUAUCUCAGAAGCUUGCUUGGCACAGAACUCUUCAAGAGCCAUUUCUCUCCUGAUAGAUCCAGUCAAAACCUUCUCCACUGCCUGUGCAAUACAAGGUAAGAAAAAGGUCAAUCAUGUAGAAGAUAUAAAUAUGAAAAGCCAGAACUUGAGACUUGUUACCUUUGGAACUUGCUUCUUGGUUUUCUCAGCAGACUCUGACUCAUCAACAGGGACUAACUGCAUGUUAGAGUUUUCAUUGUCCUCUUUCCCCUCCAUGUUUGUUCUCUUUUUACAAUUACCACAUAGAAAUGCUACUGGCUCUUCUUCUUGAAUCUCAUAAUCUGGAAGAAAAGUUUGAACUCCAGCAUCGACUUUAUGAGCUGCAAGGAUUGGCUUAGAGUCAGCAGGUUUUAAUGAAAAACGGAAUGAUGACCUCCUCAAUGCUAAACUUCGAUGGUGACUAUCAAUAAUCUCAAGACCACGAUGGAGGCUAGCUGCCAAAUGUUCAGUUGGUGUGAAAGGUACACGCAUAGCCUCAGGGCCAUCAUCCUUAAGAUCUUUCUGCGAAGCAGUGAACAUUGAUGAUGUCCUCAGACUCUUCCUACUCUGGUUCACUCUAGGUGAGACACUUGGUGUAGGGGAUUUAAGAAUCACAGAAGAAUCCCCAUCAGUUGUUUCAACAGUUAGCUGGCCUGGUCCGCCCGGAUUCUCUUUGACACUUUCAUGAGCAUCAACAACGUUUGGCAUGUUUGUAGCAGGUUCAACAGAAUCAACAACCAUAAUUUCAGAGGUUUUAGUCUCUUCGGAUAUUUCUUCCUCCAUGUUUACAUCAGUAUUCUCAGUGUCUUGUCCUUCGACACAUUCAAAUGUGUUAGGCAAUAGAUCAUCAGCACAUCCAUUUUCAGAGGUGGUAUUUCCUGAAUCUGAUUCAAUUAUCUCUCGUUUGGUCACUUCAUUUGAACAGCUAUAUAUAUCUGCUGAUUGCAGGCCUACUUGAGCACAAAGAUUCUCAACAGCUUCCUCAUCAAUUUCCAUCUCCUCGUCACCAUCUUCAUCAAUGUGAGGUAAUGUCCUUGGAUGAUUGAGGCUAAAUUUUAACAAAUUCAAGCUCCUACGGGCAUUCCAUCCAGUUGAGUAACUUCCAUUUGGAUCAGUUUGGUUGUUUCCAUUAGCUUUCAUUCGUUGGAGUUCAUCCUGCAUGGUUCCCUCCACAAUUUUCAUAUUCACACAUUUCAUCGCAUAACUCAUGGAAAAAAAAAAAAACUGAUAAUUAGAAUAUACCUUCAACUGCCGAAUCACUUCACGCAGAAAAUUUACAUCAUCCUGCAUCACUUCAUUAAUGACUGCCUUGUUCUUGAUUGCCUUUGUACGCUGAGCAAAUCGUAGUGUGCUGAAUGUUUCGCUCUUACAGCUGCAUUACUGACUCAAGUAAACUUCCCUUGCCUGGGAAGGGGGGGGGGGGAGAAGAAAAUCUUAAACAAAAUAAGGGCAGUUGUUGUCUUAUUACCUUUGUGCUGGAGAGAUUGCACAGACCAUUGCUAAUUUUGCAUUGCCACCAAGAGAUUCCUGCAAUAAAAAUGUCAACUUGGAGUCUCUGUAGGGGAUAUGCCUUUGCUUUCCGGUUUGGGAUACUUCAGCAAGAAUGUUUAUCAAGUUCCUGAACUCCAAAUAAUAAGUAAAAUUAGGAAAAAUCUAGCAGUGUGUGCUCUUGACAAAUCCAUGAAAACAUGCUGAAGCAACAAAGAGGCAAGAAAACAUGGUAGAAUUGAAUCUGAAUUGAGCAAUUGUCUCCAUCACUUGCAUUACAUAGCCUUUUUUAUUUUCUGUAGCUUCUUUUUUCUGCAUCACCUUCUUCUGAAACUGUAAUUUGCUAAAUCACUUUUUUUUCCAGCUAGGAAGACAAUCACCUUUUAGACAAAUAUGCUAAAAGUAGUUUUCUUUAAAGGUUUGGACACGCAUUUGCUCUAUUACAUUAACUCAUUUUUUAUUGUAUUCUCACAUUUUGGAGCUCAACAAUGCUCCAUACCACAUUUGCGAACUAUUGAAAUCUAAAAAGAUUCCGAAUUGCAGAUGUAUCACAUUGUAGUCAAAGUUGGAAGAUCUACUUUUUGAUCAAUAAAGUAACAACUAAAAGUUGAAUCUAGAGAUUCAAUAUAAGAUGCACGUGAAAUAAGACAUGCAUAUGAAAGAAAAGAUACGAAAAGCAUACCCAAGUUGUGAGAGUGAACGAUUAAUAUUCCCUGCCUCCUUUAAGCGGUCCCCUGCAGCACCAGUUAGUUUUUGUCUCUCCGAACCGGCUAGAUCAACGAGAUUUAUUCGGCUUGUUUUAAAGCUACUUACACCGUCGGCCACACUCUGUAAGAACAGAGAGUACUUCAGAAUCCUCAAGUAUAAUUGGGAGAGAAAAACUCGUGAAAAUAUGAUAUAUUUUCCAGUUGUUCUGCAGAUCAUGAUCCUUGAGAUUUUAUUAUUUACAAAAAUUGACAAAUAAAAAAGGACUUGGAAUUUAAGAAAAUUCCGGUUUGCAAAGCUGCCCAAGUUAGUGAUUUGAUGCCACGAUUUGGUUUUGAAAAACUUGUAAUCCAACAAGAAAUAUACUAGCUCAAACAUAAAUAUUAGAAACAAAUAAAUAAAGCACAUGAAAUUCAAACCAUUAUUACCUUACAUCGAGACUCAACAACACAAGUAAAAACACAAUGUGAACGGGAACUUUCAGCAUUGAUAGUAGUCGCACCUGUCCUUCUAUUUGAUAAUCCCUGCAUCAUUUGUGUGAAGCUUCUAAAUUUAAUUAUUUGAAUCAAACUUAGUUAAGUUUCAAAUCCACUUUUACCAAACUGGAAUAAAUGGAUCAAGCUAAUAAGAAAUCAUGCAUAAAAGUGUUCCUUUUCUAUCAAGAAAAGUUGAAUGUUAGCAUUCAAAGCAUUGGCAAAAUAAAAAUAAAAAUAAAAACAAACCUUUAUCAACAGCUGAGUCACGUCCUUCAUCGAACUUACAUACUCCUCCGUCAAAUUCUCAACGUAGACGCCAGAUUUUACAUCUUCUCUUAUCUGGAUGAAAUUCAUAAAACGGUCUAAGAAAACCAAAAAUUUUCAUCCCAAAAAUAAAGAAUUGAAAAGUUAAUUAUAAUUAUUCAUUCUACCUGCAGGUUUCUUUGAUUUGGAUCCAACAAAUCCGUGAUUUGCUCAUUAUAGAUCUGCAAAAGGAAAUUGAAAAGCAAGUGGCAAGGAAUAAGAAUAAAACAAAGAUAAACAGUCCAAUUAUAUCAAAAUUUAGUACCACAAUAAGUCAAUCAACUCUACCUCAAGAAAAGAACAGCGACAUUGGUACUUGAGUUGUUUAUCAGCAUGCUUGAUUUGCUCCUACAAAAUAGAAGGUUGAAGCACAACAAACCAUUGAAAAUGAUCCACUCAUAACAUAAACAUUCAGUGCAUUCAUUGAUGAACAUAUAUUGAAACCUUUACCUCAUUUAUACGAGCAAAGAGUCGAUCAAACACACGGGGAGUUAAGCCUUGUUGAUCACUUGAUAAAUUUUCUUCCAACAAGGCGUUGGCUGGACCCCAAAUCGUAUAAGUCUUUCCACUUCCAGUCUAGCGAAAACCAUUUUAUUCAGACACACAAAUUGAAAGUUAUAAACCAGUUCAAAAGUAAUUCAAUGAAGAAGCAAGUACCUGGCCAUAAGCAAACACCGAGCUGUUAAACCCAGCAAGACAAUUUUCGACGAGAGGUGCUCCUACGAGCUGGAAGAUAUCUAGCUGCAGUUAAAAAAGAAACAAAAUUUAGGGUUUUACAGAAAUAAUUAAACAGAGGGAAAUAAAUAAAAAAUAAGCCCAUCAGUGCCUGAGUUGCAUCCGUGUUGGCUACUGAGUCAAACGUGAAGGUUUGUCCAUUGAUACUCAAAGAUUCAUUACUAAUUUUCUGAACAAUUGUUUCCCCUUCUUCCUCUUCUUUAAUUGGCGGCCGCAUCCGUACAACCACCUAAAGAAUAAUAAUAAAAGGGAGUCAAUAUUUGAAAUCUAAGAAAUUCCAUAAUUCAGAAAAAAAAAAAGGAAAUACCUUGACACCGGAAUCGGAGAUUCCUGAGACGGCGUUUUCGGGGAGGGUUUCCGGAUAAAGUUUGCGCUUGAGAGGGUUGGAGGACGGCGGGCGAGGUGGCAACGGACACUUGAUCUUGGCCGUUGCGGUUGCGGCGGGGGAAGGUUGGGAGUUGGGAUCUGGCGGCGGUGCGUUUUCUUUGGAUGAUUUUUGGUGUUUCCGUUUGGAUUUAGAAGGUGUAAGGUUUGGGGAAGAAGGGUUCUCCAUCUGCUCUCUCAAGACCGUGUUUCUUGGUAACAUGAAAUGCUUCAUUUUUUUGUUUGUUUGGACAGAAAGGAAAAGAGAGGAAAAAGGGAGAGAAAGGGGAAGAUUAGGGCAAGAAAGCGUGAGAGAUGGAGAGAAAGACAGAAGAGUGGAAGUGAGAGAAAAGUAGCCGUUAGAGGGAACAAAAGAGUUUGAAUUCGGGGAUUUUUAUUUUUAUUUUUAUUUAUUUUGAAAUUAUGUUGGAUCUGGAGCGUUUUUUUUAAUAAUUAAAUAAACCUACGUGGACCCAUUCAUGAGCCCACUUUUGAUACGACACUGUUUUUCUUUGACGGCCCAGAUUCUUGGGCUGCUUUUUCUUUUCCUUUUAAGUCAAUUAGCCACUUUACUGUUAUUAAAUUUGAGAUUCAACCAUUGUACUUUUAUUCUUUUCAAUUAAGCCAUUACAUUAUUGUCAAGUGGUCAAUUAAGCCAAUUUUUUAAAUUGGUCUAUACUUAAAUUAUUGUUAGAGUGAGAUAGCCAGAUGUCAAUUCAAUUCAAAUGGCAGGACAAGGAAAAAAAAAUCUAAAAAUUAGUAUAAGUAAUUGUUUUGUAAUUGCCUUCCAUUUCUUUCUUCAUUAUUUGUUUCAUUUCCUUUAUUUUUUCUCACACUCACCCAUCCUUCUUAUAAUAUGACAAUAUAACAUAAACAUAAUAUAAAAAAAAGGUAAUAAUAUAUUGAUAAAAAUUAUAUUAUGUAAAUAAUAUAAAUAUUCGAAUUUUAAUAUUAUCGAAAGAUGUAACGGUUGAAGGCAGCACGCAAAGGGCAUUUGUCCGUCUAUUUAUACAGGUGUCCUUGAGUCCACUAUCACAAAUACGUAAUACCAUUGCCACUCACCAAGUACCUAACUGCAAUGAAACAAUGCCCGAGACGAUAAGAAUCAAGGCCUUCAUUCAUGAUUUCAUGUGAUGUUUUUUUGCGUCAAAAACCAGCAGAAAAAGCAGUACGUAACAAAAAACCUUAGCACAAUUUGACAAAAAAAGAAUAUUUCCGUCGGAAAACGCUAGCUCACUAUUGUCCCAUAAAUGACGGCCCUGUCAUGUCGUUUUCCCUUGUGUCUAAAAUACGCCGCACGACGUCGAUGCUCUCUUCUGCCUCGCUCGCCACCCCUGUCAGCCCAUUUCACCACCUUAAUUUGCGUGACGAAACGCUUUCUUUUUCGGUUUUCUCUCUAUAUAACACCAUAACCACAAUACCCCACCGUCACAAUCAUAUUUCAUAUAAAAACUGAAGCACCAAAAGAUGGCGAAAACUGAGCUGAUAACUCUCUCUUUGUUGUUCGUAAUAACAUUGUCUUUUACGUUGGUUAACGGUUACGGAACGGUGGUGGGAGGGAAAACGAAGAUAAGCGACGUGAAGAAGAACAAGGAGGUGCAAAAGCUUGGGAGGUUUUCCGUGGAAGAAUAUAACAGGAUGCAGGGGCGUUUGAGGAGUAAUAGAGGGACGGAGUUGGUUUUUUCUCAGGUUGUGGAGGCUAAGAAACAGGUGGUAUCUGGGAUCAAGUACUAUCUGAAGAUUGAGGCCAUGCAGAAUGGGCUUUCCAGGACGUUUGAAUCGGUGGUUGUGGUGAAACCUUGGGUUCAUUCCAGGGAAUUGCUCAGCUUUUCCCCUUAUUCUCAAAAAGGUUAGGGGUUUGCUUGUGUUGAAUCUGUAGCGUUGUAAUGGUCAUUCCCAAGUUUGUUUUGUGUUUUAUGGCAUUUUUGGUUUGGAUUUUUGUGUUUGUGGGUGGGUUUUAACCUGUGAUUUUCAUGUAUAAUAAGUCUUUGAACGUGCAAUAAAGGAAUAAAUAAUGCUAAUCAACUAUUUGUUUUACAAAUAAUCUAUAUAUCUUUGCUGGGAAAGAGAAGGAUUGUGAUUUGUGCUUUCAGGAUCAUGUAUACAUCAGCUUUCGAUUCUCUGAUUCCAAAAUGUUCAAAGAAAUGGUCUUAUCAUUCAAGGAUAGUUGUAGAUGAUAAAGGAUCGAAUUCGUUUUUCUUUUUUUUCCUUUUAUUUUCUCCGAUAUUGUAUAAUAUUUUAAAAUUUCAAAAAGGAUUCAAAUUGGAAUCCAUCUUUUUUUAAAUCAAAUUUAUCCAAAUUCAAUCUGGUUUAUCAGUUUUUAAAAUUAACUUUUUAAAUAUUCUAUUAUUUUUGUAAAUAUAUUUUAAAUAUAUUUAAAUUUAUUUAAAUAUGAAAAAUUAUUUUUAUUUUAUAAAAUUUAAAUUUAUAUAAAAACUAAUAAAAAUAUAAUUCUAUUUUAUUAGAAUAUUUUUAAUUUUUUUAUUUCAUCAUUUAAAAUCAUUUGAAUUUAAUUAAAACAUCUAUUUGAAUCAAAAAAUUUAAAUAUAAAUCAAUCUAAAUACUUUAAUUUCAAAUUAAUUUUUUAUUUUCUCGACCUUAAAAAAAACUACAAAUUAAUUUUAAAUUUAUAUUUAUUUAUUAAAUUUAACAAACAACAAUAAAUAAUAUUUUAAAAUUUAUUAAUUAAACGAAUAAAUUAUAAAUAUAUAUAAAAAAAUUGGUUCACAAGCAAUUUGUUUACAAUUAUAUAUAUAGCUUAUAUGUAUUCUAUAAAGCUCCGAAAAAAAAUAAAAUUGCAUAUGUAAAAGUAGUUACUUGUGUAAGGAUACACCAAGUAACUUAUAAUUAAAAAAGAAAAACGUUAAACAAUGCAAUCGUCUUCCCUCCUUAAGAAACCAACUUUCUGAAACAAAAAUUAACAAAGAUGAACCAAACAAAUUCCGGGGUCACAAUACAAUAUUAGAUAAUACAAUUGUUAUCUUCAACUUGAACAUUCUUAUACAAAGUGGUUAAGAUAAUUGAUCAAGCAUUUUUCAGCUGCUAAUACAACAUGCACUUAAAGCACAAACUUUGAACAUUACAUGGCCACGUGAUCUACCAGGGGAUCUGACCAUUUUUGACAAAUUAAGCUAGUGAUCAUGGAAAGUAUGAGAAAGAGGCAAACCAAAAUAACCAGCAAUCUGCAAACCUGCUUAGAUGCAUUAGAAGAACUUCAUGCAUGACUUUGCACACCAAGUGAUUAGCACUAUCUGAACCUUUUACUAUUCUAUGGUAAUAUAUUUUAGAACAAAUACUCCACCUUCACUCUUCUAUAACAUUGGGAAAGAAGAAAGGGAGGAAGGAUGGAGGGGAAGGGGGAUUUGAGGCAAAUGCCAUCAUGCCUUUCUGUCUAUGGCCAUUGGUGCUGGCUCCUGUUUUGCAGCCUUUGCUUGCUCUAACUUGUUCAUCUUUGUAAAUAUGUUGCCAUAAAAUUGUGAAUCCUUGUUGUACUCCCCGAUUUUCUCCUUUAGGACUCGGUACUCCAGUUUCACAUCUCUGGUAUCAACGCAAACAUAAAUUAACUUCAACUGUAGUCACAAGUUCACAACAAUUGGAAUACAACAACUUAUUGGUGAAAACAUGAGGCCAAAGAUGAUGCAACCAGAUUUCUUAUCCUACAUGUACUUUCCACUUCGGUUUUAUAGUCCUUGUAUCUAGUAUUUCCCAAAUGCGGCAAAGCAAAUAUUCCCCCAGAACAUUUAUGCAAGAUACAUUCCCAUCCAGCUCACAAUCAUACAAGGCAGGAUGUAGUGACUUUAGCUCCGAUAAAUCACUAAAGUAACCAUAUUCAGAUAUAACAAACAGUUUGCAGUAGAGAAAAACCUGUUAUCAGGGUCAGUCUCGAGGGCCCUUUUGAUAUCCACCUCUGCCAAAUCCAAAUCAACAGGUUGAAUAUAUGCUUGAGCCCUUAUAUAUACUGCUUUCACGUUCCUAUUAUCAAGUUCUAACACCUAUAAAAUCACACAUGCCUAACUGUCAGCAUGAGUGAAUUAACAUUGACAUUUCAUCAAGACAAAUUCUAAAUGCCAAUAAAGCUAACAACCUUAGUGCACAGAUGCUCAGCCUGCUUGUAAUCUUUGAGUUUCAACUUGCAAGCAGCAUUAUUAAGAUUGCACGUUACUUGUCCCAUUUUCACCCUUCUUCAUUGUUUUGAUACCCUCAUCCCAGCCCUUGAUUACUUGUCGUGCAAUUUAAGGAGAGAAACGAGUGAGCAUAUGCAGUUCAAGCUGUUACAGACAGACACUCCACAACCAAAACAGUCAACGAAAAUCUCCGUUAAACUGUUGAAAUUUGAAAGAUUUCACUUGUUCUCUCAAUGCUUCCAGGAAAGACAGACAUCCAAAUAUCAUACCAGACAGCAAUAUAUUUUACACGGCUUCAAUCGAACACAGAUCUUAGGCAUCAGACAUGAAAAAGAUCUUAAAACUUAGUCCUAUCUAAAUUCAGAUUUGAUAAGAAGAAUAUAGUUGAUGCCAACAAUUUUUUUAAAAAACAAGCAUUCAUUAAGUAUUCCAUAUAUCAUCCAACUCAUUAUUCUAUGAUUAUCACAAAAUUCAUCGGACUUUAUUAAGUUAUUACACUGUUAUUAUCAAAAGGGUAAGUUGCAAGGACUAUUCAGAAAUGCUAGGCAGUUUCAAAAAGAUAUGGGGAGUCACCUUAUUAGCGAUAUGAGUGUACAAUAUGUUAGUAUGUAAUUUGGCACCUAAAAUAUACUACUUUAACAAUUUAGUACCCAUAAAAAAAAUUCAUUCUAAUCGUACUUGUUUUCAUCAAGCAUUUUACACCUUUGACUAAGGAUGUUAGUCAAAUGUUGAUAUCACAAAUACUAACCAAUAAAAAUGUGAUGUUUGACGAAAACAGAAUUCGAGUCUCUAACUAUGAAUUUUCUUUUAUAGGUACUAAAUUGUGAAAAGUGAUAUAAUUCAAGAGCUAAAUCACACAUUAACCCUUUACAAUAAUAAAUAUAUAAAUGUAUGACAGAAACACUUGAAAAUCAUAACUCGGAACAGUGAUUUCUGAAAACAAAUAAGGAGUUAAACAUCGAACUUAAGAAUUAGUGAUUUACACUUCCUUGAUAAGAACACCAGCUUUAACAGAGAGGUAACUAAAUUCAUUAAGAAAUGAAGCUGAACAUGCAUUUAAAAUAAAAGAAAAUUAGAUGAAUAAAAUUAUUCACCUAGGCCAAGGUUGAACUUAAAAGGAGUCCCCCUAUCCCGGCUGGAAUCAAACUUGGUUCCAUAAAGCAAAGUUCCAGUGUAAUGCACUGCAAAAAAACCAACAAACCCAUAAACUUAAAAAAUUCAAGAACAAGAAGUAACAGAAGAAUAAAUGUAUAAGCUGAUUAAAGAAGCUGUUAAGACUCAAUUACGUAAAUUGCGAUUAAUUAAAUUGCAUUCAAUUGAUGUUGAUCAAUCAACAAAGUUUUGUGUGAUGCUUGAAAUAUAAAUAAAGCUAUAUUACAUAAUAAUUAGAAUAUGAUUUAAUUGUAUCUAUGGAGUGUAUGUACUGUAGUAAUUUUAUUGCUUCUUUUGGAUAAAUAAAAUAUAACUUAUCCCGAAAAAAAAAAAUCCUAAAGGAAAAAGGACAACCAAAGCAAUGAAGGAAGAAGAAGAAAGAGAGCCAUUACCUUUAACUUCAUCAACAUUGGAGGGUCUCCCAUCCUUCACCUUCCUUAAGCAGCUUUUUCUUCAGUCCAUUUUUCCCAAUCUCUUUCUCCUCACCAACUUUGAGGAUUGGGUUAACGGGGUCAUCUUGUGGGAUGUCCAUAUUUUCUUCUUCUUCAUCCACGUUGUUGGCGGUUGGGAACUCGAAAUCGUCUUUCAUGGUUUGCGAGAUUCGCUGAGAGGAAAAUUUGAGCUUUUGAGUUAAGCAAAUUAGCACAUGGUUGAAGGUCUUUCUCUGAUUAAUGCAAAGUGAUCUGAAACUACAGGAAUUUAAAGGUGAAGACGGAGAGAGUCCAGAGGUUCUAAAAGCUAACAGUCUGAAGAUAGUUCCAGAAUUCUCCCUUCUCUUUUUAGAGCCUUUGACACUGUCGUUGAGAUCUUCGCGCUUCUAUGAGGGCGCUUUAGGAUCUACUGGUGCGUUGCAUGGCAUUUAAAUAAUUUGAUUUUUUGUUUUUAAGUUCUUAAAUUACUUUUAAACUCCUUAUCUAACAACAUAAUUUAUUAAAGAGAAUAUUAUGGGUUUAAAUUUUUUCGAUUAUAUAAUAUUUAAAUAUCAAUUUUAAUAAUAUGUCAAUUAAUUUAAAAUUUAAUUAAUUAAUUUUUUUUAUAUAUAAUUCGAGUAAGAUAAAUUAUUUGAUGCAAUAGAAUUUUUUAAUUGUAUAAUCAAAGAUAAAAUAAGAAUAUAUAUUUUAUUUUUUAAAAUAUAUACUAAAAUAUAUGUGUUAUUAUUUUAAUUUUGUUUAUGAAAUUAAAAAAUUUGGUUUUUCAAUGUAUUUAAUAAUUUCUCAUUCAAAUAAAUUCAAACAAAAACUAUAAGCUUCAAAUCUUAUUAUAUGUAAAUUUAAUUAUUUAAUUAUAUUUUAAAUUAUUAGUUGAUUAUUUAUCGAUUGUAACUUAUUAUAAUAGAAUAAUUUAUUAUUUGACUAUUUAUAUGAAUAAAUACUUAAUUAUAAUUGUAGACACCCAAUUGGGUCCGGGCCCAGAUCAAUUGGGCCUGGCCCAAAUAGGUAGGGCCCAAUUCAAUUUGUCCUGUAUUAUUUUGUAUUUUAUGUAUUUUAUGUAUUUUAUUAUUAUGUAUAUAUUUAUUAUUAUUUUUUUUUUAGAUUAGAUUUAUAUGUAUUAGUUAUAUAUUUAUUAUUAUCUGUUCUGAUUUUCCUGAUUAUCAGAUUUUUUUACUAUAAUAUCUUUUGAUUUAUCUUUUCUAAUUAUCUAGUAUUUUUUAUUUAUUUUGAUUUUAAUUUUGGAGGCUAAGAUUCAAGGCUGAAGAAUCCCACUGGUGGAGGGGAACUCAAUCAGAAGAGUCCAGUGGGAUUCAAAGAUUGAAUUCCUGUCCAAGAGGAAUUGGGAUUGAUCAGAACUCCUGAUCAAUCCCUAUAAAAGGGACCCUCCUGGGACAGAUCAAGGACACACAGAAAACAGUAAGCAAAGCUACUGAUUGAGAGAAAAGGAGGCGUAUAGGAAGCUAAGAAAAGUUUAGGAGUGUUCUGGGAGUGAGGAAAAAUUUUAGAAAUUUUGCCAAAAAUUUUUUUCUGGAAAUUUCUGGGAAAUUUCCAGAAUCCGGCGAAAAUUCCGGCGAAAUUUGAAUUUUUCGGCAACAAUUCCGGCGAACAUUGAAGUUUUCGGCGACCAGUCCAGUUUUCGGCGAAGAAUCCCAGAAACCGACGAUAUUCCGGCCAACUUCCGGCGAAAUUUCCAGAUUCCGACGAAAAUUUCCAGAAUCCGGCACCGGUGUUCUUCAGUUUCUAGAGAGAAGGGAGAGAAAAAGGAAGAAGAGAGAGAGAGGGGGAGAGCGUUCUGCCGAAAAACGAGGAUGCCUUUUAUACCCUCCCAAAACGACGUCGUUUUGGCCUUAAGUAACCAGAGGAUCCGCGUUUUGCCGAACCCGACCCGACCCGGCGUCGACCCGCGCGUGCCAGCCCCCUCCGAGCCGAGCCGAGCCGAGCCAAGCCCCAAGCCGCUCCCCCGAGCCGUUUUCUCUUCCUUGAGCCGAGCCGAGCCGAUCCGAGCCGCUCCAGGUUUUUUUUUUUUUUUUUUUUUUUUUUUUUUAUUUUUAUUUUAUUUUUUAUUUAUUUAUUAGAUUAGGUUUAUGUAAUAUUCUUUUUAUUUAUUUUUUAUUAUUUUAUUUUCUUUAAAUAAAAAUAAAAAAUUCCAAAAAAAUAUUUUUAGGGAAAAGUUGAAAGUAUCAAUUUUCCUUAGAAAUAAAUUUCCAAAAAANNNNNNNNNNNNNNNNNNNNNNNNNNNNNNNNNNNNNNNNNNNNNNNNNNNNNNNNNNNNNNNNNNNNNNNNNNNNNNNNNNNNNNNNNNNNNNNNNNNNNNNNNNNNNNNNNNNNNNNNNNNNNNNNNNNNNNNNNNNNNNNNNNNNNNNNNNNNNNNNNNNNNNNNNNNNNNNNNNNNNNNNNNNNNNNNNNNNNNNNNNNNNNNNNNNNNNNNNNNNNNNNNNNNNNNNNNNNNNNNNNNNNNNNNNNNNNNNNNNNNNNNNNNNNNNNNNNNNNNNNNNNNNNNNNNNNNNNNNNNNNNNNNNNNNNNNNNNNNNNNNNNNNNNNNNNNNNNNNNNNNNNNNNNNNNNNNNNNNNNNNNNNNNNNNNNNNNNNNNNNNNNNNNNNNNNNNNNNNNNNNNNNNNNNNNNNNNNNNNNNNNNNNNNNNNNNNNNNNNNNNNNNNNNNNNNNNNNNNNNNNNNNNNNNNNNNNNNNNNNNNNNNNNNNNNNNNNNNNNNNNNNNNNNNNNNNNNNNNNNNNNNNNNNNNNNNNNNNNNNNNNNNNNNNNNNNNNNNNNNNNNNNNNNNNNNNNNNNNNNNNNNNNNNNNNNNNNNNNNNNNNNNNNNNNNNNNNNNNNNNNNNNNNNNNNNNNNNNNNNNNNNNNNNNNNNNNNNNNNNNNNNNNNNNNNNNNNNNNNNNNNNNNNNNNNNNNNNNNNNNNNNNNNNNNNNNNNNNNNNNNNNNNNNNNNNNNNNNNNNNNNNNNNNNNNNNNNNNNNNNNNNNNNNNNNNNNNNNNNNNNNNNNNNNNNNNNNNNNNNNNNNNNNNNNNNNNNNNNNNNNNNNNNNNNNNNNNNNNNNNNNNNNNNNNNNNNNNNNNNNNNNNNNNNNNNNNNNNNNNNNNNNNNNNNNNNNNNNNNNNNNNNNNNNNNNNNNNNNNNNNNNNNNNNNNNNNNNNNNNNNNNNNNNNNNNNNNNNNNNNNNNNNNNNNNNNNNNNNNNNNNNNNNNNNNNNNNNNNNNCUAGAAAUAUGCCUGAUUACCCAAAAAUAUAUCGAAAUUUAUAUUUGGAAAAGGAAUUAGCUUAGACUAUUACAUCAGAAACAGGAGUAUACAUACUCAUACACCAAGAAAUAAAUGCAGAUUUUGAUCACAAUGUGAUAGGGAGGCAACUUGUAUUUAUCUACCAAAUCCAGCAGUCACAGUUCAUUGUCACUAGUGCAGGUUGGUGAGUUUAAGGUUGGUCAACAUUCCAUGUUAAACUACAGCAAUAUCCUCAUGAACAUGAAUUUGGAGAACUAAAGUAUGAAUUAUUUUACAAUGGUACUUAAUUAAGUACAAAUUUCAUUCAUUCCUUGAGUGCAUAAGGCAUAAUCUGAUAAUUAUCAACUAAUUUUAUGAAUUUGCCAUAGGCAUUUCCACUGCAGGAAGAGAGACAGCUCUUAAUAUCAUCAUUAAAUAGCUGGCAUACAUUCCAGAAUUUCAGACGGAUUUGUCCAACUACUGCCAUCACCCACAGAACUUAGUUGGGAAUUAUGAUAACAGAAACACAAUUGCUUCAGUAAUACAAUGUUGAUCAAAAAAAUCAUAAAAAGAAUGAGAAUGGAAAUUAAUAGAAAACUAUAAACUGAUAGGAAGCCAAUACACAUAUAUACCUUUGGGUUUGAUUCUGUCUUGAUAACUGAUGCUUGAAAUAGGUCUAGAGGAUUAGUGGCAUUCCAGUCUUGAUAAGAAGCUGGAAAAUCUACGCUAGAUUUGCACAAGAGAAAAAAAAAAAGGAAAAAACAUUAUAAUGAGAAAUCAAGCUAAUAAGUUAUAAAGGAUAAAGCUAUGGCAGGUAAAACAGCAAGUACCAAAUUAAAUUAGCAGUUUGCUAAUAUCUUCUACAAGCCAUUUUGUUAUAGAGUAAAUUGCAAUGUUGCUUAUGCUAAAAGUUUCAAUGGAAAUAUAUAGUUGAAUAUAUUCUUUCCUGAAUGAAGAGAGCCAAACUUUACUGUAGUGUCUUUCCCUAUAUCAAAAUAUUCAAUCAAGCGUUUUCAAACUUACCACGUGAAUAAUAUUAUUUUCUAACUAGAACAUAUCAGCAUUAUAGGCACCAAAAUACAACAAAUCCUCAAGUAGUAGCGCUAAGCAUAAGAAAAGGAACCAAAAUAAAAUGAUCACAUUUUUUGUUUUCAACGUAUCAAGGAGAAUAAGGACCUGAAUACAUGUCCAAUAACUGAAGUCACUUUGAAAUGAGCAUGAAAGCCAAGAAAAGGCCCAUUGAACUCAUGGACAUCUGUACUGCCCCUCCUUGUCGUCAUCUGACAAACGUAAUACAACUUGUAAGUAACUAACAAGUAUUCAAUAUUGAAAAUGAAAAUUUGUCAUGGAAUUCACUAAAAGGACAAUUGUGCAUGAACCAAAACAUGAAAAUGCUUCACGAUUAGUUCUAAAAUGAAAUUGAUAUAAAAAGAGAAUGGAAAAGAUGAGGGAUUCAGCAUUGUCUUCCAACACAUAACCACACUAUGCGUGUAAUUUGGUAACUGCAAAAGGUGUUACUUCAACUAAAUGUUAGUUAGACCAAAUCCAACCAACAAAGGGGUACUAAAUUUUCCAAACAGAUUACCGUUUAUUCAGUACAGAAGCUUACAAAGGUAGUUUAAGAAAUAAAAAGAAAAAGGAGAACAAAACCAAAAAGAGAAAAAACCUUACUAGGACGAACCAAGCAUUUAAAUUUGAAUUGCUAUAAUUUCAAAUCUAGCAAUCAACCUGUUUCUUCAGGACAAUUCUAACUUUAUUACCACUUUUUUAUUUGAAAGAUUAAUAAAGUUCAAGACUUUUUGGAUAGCAGUCAAGGACUUUUUGACACACAUGAUGCUGCAGGUCGCUAGCCAAUAGUGAACUAGGAGAAGGGGUUGCAGAGUGACUGUAGAUUUAAAUCCCAGAUAUGGUAGAAACUACCUCUUAAGGAGUGAUUACGGAUGAAUCUGAAGCUAAACCCGAAAUUCAUAAAGGUUUCAAGGACUUUGCAGUAACUUGAGUAGCUUUAAAAUAAACAUUAAUUGGGGAAGCAAUUAAUGUUUUCAUAAACGUUUGAAAGAAUUUUUUUUCUCUAAAAUUCUUUUUUUUUUUUUUAGCAAUAUCUGCUUUCACCUUGUUUGGCACAUAGAUAGUCAUAAAGCCAAUGGUCAUAACAUCAAUAACGCAAAGAUGAAUCUUUUAAGGUUUAAAAUGUAAAAAAUUAAAAUUUUCAAAGUAAAAAAUUGCAAUACCAACAAAACUACGAAGGGCUUUUCUCAAAAUAAGAGAGAGUUUAAGCAUACUUGGCCAUGAGAGAGUACAGAAGCAAUGGAGAGAGCGAUGCUAGGCUUCCCGCAACCUGCAAAACAGUGAGAAAAUCAACUUAAAACGAAGAAAAUAUAUUUAUAUUUAAUUUUAAAUAAAAAAGAAUAAGAAAUUGAAAUUUUUAAAGGGUUUGUUUGAUUGUUUUACCAUGAGAAUUUGGGAGGAGGAGACAUUUUUCCAAUUUCCAGUUCCACUUUUCUUUCUGGGGUUUUGGCUUGUUGCUUCAAUUAACAUACCUGGGAAGUAAAACGACUCAGUUUUGAGUUAAACGACAUCUGGUCUUCCCCGUUCUCUCUUUUCCAUUUCUCCUUUUUUUCUUUUUCUAAUAAAAAAUUAAGAACUUCUAUUUACACCUCAUAAUUCACUAAUUAUAACCUAAAUUUAAACUCGAAAUCCAAAUAUUUAACUUUUUGAGAAUCGAAGCUUUAAAUUAUAUCUCAAAAAGUUACUUAUAAGUGCACCCUUUUUUUUUUAUACCAAUAUUUUUUAAAUUAGAUAAAAUUAUUUAAUUAUCUUUAUUUUUAAUUUAAAGAUUUCGAAUAUACAUAUUCGAUAAAUUUAUAAUUCAUCAGGUAUAUGCACAUUUAAUAAAUUAUAUGAUUUAUUAAAUUUUAAUAUCUGAUAAAUUUAUUUAAAGUUUAAAAAAUCAAUUAAAAAAUUUUCAUAUCUUUAAAAAUUUUUAUAAGUUUAACUAGAACAUAUUUAUAAGUUUGUAUUUUUAUAAGUUCCAAAAACUUAGAGAAAUGAAAAUCUAUAAAGCCUUUUAAAUUUAUAAAAAAAAUCCAUAAAACCUUUUUAAUUUAUGAAAAUUUCAUUUUCGUAACACUCGAUGAAAAAAAAAACUUCAUGAAAUCUAAGAACUAAAUCAAAAUAAAAAACAUAUUAUCUUCAAAUUGAAGUUUGAUGAUUUGAUUAACUCCAACUUUGAAUGGUUGAAUUGUAGGAUUUGAGUGCUAAGGGAUAAUCAAUUUAGGGAGAAGGAAAUAUGUGUGGGUGUUUGAGAGAUGUGGGGUGAGAGGUAAAGGAUGUUUAGGGAAGUUUGUAAUUAUUGGUAAGUGUAUUAAGUAAAAAUUGGUUUUUAAAUUUUCAAUGUUGGAUGUAGAGAAAAAUAAUUAAGUAAAAAACAAGAUUUGCUCACAUUUACAUAAAGUUGUGUAUAAAUACUAAUUCUUUUUUAAUUUUUUUCUUUGAUUUUAUUUAUCUUCUAUUUUGAUAUAUUUAAAUUUAAUGUUAUUCAAUUGACUUUAUUAUUGUUAUCAGCUUGAGUUCCUUUUGGUUUUUUGAAGUUUACAUUCUUAUUGUUUUAUGACCUGAAUUGCAGGUGAUGAAUUUAAAAAGAAGUUAGAAAAUGUAGGCAAACAAUCUAAGUCAUCUAAGGAUGAAGACUUUUGAUGUAAGAACUCAAUGCACUAAAAUCUAAUGAUUGCAAUUGUGUGAAAACCUUGUAACAGCCAAUUACGAAUUAUGUUGGUAAAGUAUUAAAUUUUUAAUUUUAAUGAUUAGAAUUUGAAUCCUAUAACUCCUAAGUAUUAAAAAAAUUACGGACAAUCCUACCUGAUAAUAAGCAAUGGAUUUGAGUGGUUUCAUAGACUUGAUAUUGGGAUAAAGUAAUAUUGAAACUGUUAUUAAAACUAGAGGAUGAUGAGGACCAUGGAGUUUUUUAUCUAUAAUUAAUAUUCUUUACGUAGGAAAAUACCAAGGUGAAAAGUUAUUCAAAGCAAAAACAUAAAAUGCUUUUGGGUGCUUCUAUUUGCAUUCCUAUUUUUUCUCUUCACAUCCAACCUUUUUUUUUUCAAAUUUGUCUUUAUAUAAAAUACUUAAUUAUUUUUUUCUCAAUUUAAAGUCUUCAAAUAGGCAUGUCUAGUAAAUUUGAUAACUUAUCGAAUAUGUAUAUUUAGUAACUUAUCAUAUUAUCUAAUUUUCUUAUACAAUAAAUUAAAAAGAGUUAUAUUUAGGGUUUAUGAAAAAUUUUAAUUGAAAAAAAAAAUCUCAUAUCUUGAAGAAUUUUCACAAUAUUGCAAAGAAAAAACACAAUUUGUUUCAAUUAAUUGUAAGCUCAUUUAUAAAUUGAUAAAAAAAAAUUAUGUAUGUGAGUCAUUAGAUUUCUUCUUAAUUUCAACGAUCUAAUAUAGAAACUUUUAAAAACUUAUGAAUUUGCAAAUCCAAAAGCUUUUAAAAGCUUUCAAAUCUGUAAAUUUGAAAACUUAAAAGUGAAAAAGGGUUUAAGAAAAUGUAAUUAAAUAAUUUUAUUUAAAAAUAAUUUUUUAAAAAAAGUAUGAAGGAAAAAAUUGGAUGUAAAUAGAAGCUCCCAAUGGAUAUUAAAGCACUAUAAUGCUUUUUCUAGAUAUAUAAGCAUUUAUUUAUUGACAUUUGUCUAAUUAUGGUAAUAACUAUUUUAUCUUUUUUAUAUUAUAUAAUAAUCAUUUAAUCCUUUGAAUAUUAUGAGUUGAUCAUUGUACUUUUUAUUAAAAUAUAAAUAAUUAAAAAUUAAAAAAUUAUUGAAUAUUAUAAAUUGAUCAUUUCACCAUUUAUCAAAAUAAAAAUAAUUUAAAACGUAAAUAAUAAAAUAUUAAAAACAACAUAUGAAAAAUAAAGCAAAAACAAAAAAAUCCCAUUACCCCAACCACCAUAAAUCACAGUACUAAAAACAAAAAAAAAAAAACAAAAAAUCCACCAAAGUCUCAUUAUCUGAACCCUCAACGACUCUCACAACCAUCAGCCACUGCCACACUAACUUAAGCAACCAAUUAAAAAGUGCGACCAUAAUAGAAAAAAGUUAGACUAAGACCUAAUACCUAGCCAAAAAAAACACAGGUAAAACAUAACGAAAAAACCAAUAACCAGCAUCAUUCCCUUAAUAAAAAAAAUCACACAAGCAAAAAAAGAAAAAACAACAAUAAGAAAAACAAAACAAAAUAAAUACAAGGAGUUUUGGUUUUUAAGAGAUUAGGGAUGUUUCGGGGCUUGAAAAUUAAAAGAAACAAAUGGCAAGGGAUAUGGAUAAAUAUAGUAGAAAGUGUGGCUAUUUGGACCGAUGGAAAUAGGUGUUUUAAAGGUUUUUAUAUCGCAGCUUGGGUUAUAAAUCUAGACUUUUAGGCACUUAUUUUGAAAAACUCGAGGUUAGAACAAUAACGAGAAGAUUGAAAAGAGUUUAUGGUAAAAUUUUGGGAUGAAAAAGAGAUUGACACACAAUUUUUGAUAAUUGAAAAUCACUUAAAGAGAAGUUUAAAAUUUUAGUGAGAGAAAAAAAAGAAAAAUGAAACAAGAAAAAGAUUGCCUUUUAGGUAAAAGAAAAACAGACCAUUGAUCUGGUGAGUUGUGAUUGAUUUGACUCGAUUCAAAAAAUUUUAAAUGAGAUUUUUAGAAGAUUUAGUAUUUUUGGGUCAUCAAAUUUGGAUCUUUUUAAAAAAUAAUUUAUAAAUUUUUUUUACCAAAGUUUAUAAAUUUAUUUUAAUAAAACAUAUAAUAAAAAGAUUUUAUUUAUACUACUAUUUUAUAUUAUAAAAACAAAUUAAAGCAUAAAAUUAUGCUUAACUAAGAUUAACUAAUGCAUUUAAAAUAUUUUUAUUUUAUAUGUAAUAUACUUAUUGUAUAAAAAAAACUAUGUAAUGCAUGAAAAUUAUAUUUAUGUUUUUUUUUUUUUAUUAAAUUUUGAAAGAUGAAGUUUUUUACUAAUUAAAACAGAUUAACUUAUUAACUCAAGUGUAGUUAGAGUAACAAACUAAUGGAUAACCAAAGGCAUUACUUACUUUAUGGAGUCGAUAUUUUUUAAUUAGCUUUACUUUUUAAUCAUUUACUCAUUUUUUUUCUUAUAUAUAAAAAAUUUAGGAUGAAAGGAAACUUUUUCAUUCCAAGUCCAUAGCAAACUAUAUGUUGUAAAGAAAUUUUUCACUAAAUUUACAAAUCAUUUAAAAAAUAAGACUCAUUUUAUUCAUUUCAAUAAAUAUGAUUUUACUUUUCAUUGGUUGCUUUUACUAUAUAAUGAAAUUUGAGGAAGCAUAAAAGCAAUAAAACAAUAAAUAAGCAAGCCAAAUUAAAUGUGCUAAACAAUUCAUUUUCUUUAAGAUGACGUUGGGUUCGAGAGAAAGUUAGUUUACCUUUUGAAAUUUUGUUUUUCAUAAUCUAAUUUUUUAAUUUGGUUCACAUUAUCUGAUUCUUAAGAAGAUGUUAAGAUUUCCAACAACGUCAAAAUGCCCGAAAUAAGAAAUCUACUUUUCUUUGAAUUGUUUAAGAUUCUUAGAAGAAAGUAAAUUUUAUAAAUUCUUAGAGAAAAGUAAAUUUUAUCUCACUUUUGAUCUCAAUAAUAAAUUUUUUUUUAUCUAUUUUACCAUUAAAAAUCAGCAUAAUUGCAUGAUAAAUCGAUAUACAUUAUGGAUGGAAAGUUGCAUUCAAAGUCACAUGAUUGAAAAUUGGAUACGUAGUAAAUUAUAUAUAAUAAAAAUAAUGUUUAUAAAAGAACAAAUGUAGUGAAUUACUAUAAAUUUAAGAUUUUGAAUUUUUUUAAUUUUCAAAAGUACUACGUUUUUAAUAUAUGAGACGUAGUUGAUCAACUAAAAUAAUAACAAAAUAAAUUAGAUAUUUUCAAUGUCAAUGAUGUUUCACCAAAUGUAGUAAUAAAUAUAAUAUUAUAAUAGAAUAUUGAUGAUACUCUUAACUACAUUUUUUAUAUAAAAAUGUAAUAUUUUAUAAAUAAAUUUUUUUUAUAUAUCAAUAACUACGUUUUUUAUUAUGAAAUCAGUCAUUGAUAAAUUGUAGUUUUUUAUUUUUAUAAGCACUACGUUUUUUAUAUAUAAAGCGUAGUUAAUCAUUUAAAAAAGAAAUUUGAUAUUUUCAAUAUUAACAAUAUAUCUUAGAAUGGAGACAUAGUAAUAGAUAUAAUAUUUAUAAUAGAAUAUUUAGAUAUUUUUAAUUAAGUUUUUUAUGUCAAAACAUAGUAUUUGAUAAAUAUAAAACUUUUUUAAUAUCAAUAACUACUUUUUUUUUAUAAAAACGUAGUAAUUGAUAAAUGUAGUAAUUGAUCACCUAAAAGUAUAGUAACUAACAAUGAUUAUGUUUUUUAGUUUCACAACUUUGUUGAUAAUAGGUAAAAAUAACAAAAUAAAUUGACAUUUGAACAUGAUAUAAAUCACAUUUCCUUUUUAAACAUCCCAAAAGCUCUAGUUAAACCCUAAAUCUCAUCCUUUUUGUUUUACACAACAUCACCUUCAAUAUUGUGAUUUCAUCAUUGUGAAAUCCAUUUUAGCUUAUCAAUGUUCUUCAAACAUGAUGUGUCAACCAAAUGUUCUUCUUCAUAUUUGGUUAAGAUAGACAUAUGUUCUUCAGAAUCCAUUAUAUAAAUUUAUCUAUACAAAUAAUUAUGGAAUGGGAAAAAGAUAAAUAAAUUAAGAAUAUUGAGAAAAAGACAAAUAAAAUAAAAACAAUCUUCGAAUACCUUAUUAUUUACAUUGUUUCAUAAAAUAAGAACAAUGAAAAAAUGAUUUAUGACCUAAAAUGACAGUGAUGGCAAUGACAACAAUGACAGCAAUGAGAUGAUUCAAUAGCAUAAGUUUUAAGGUAUAAAGAAUAUCGAGAGAUCUUGAAAGAGUCGUAAUCUAAUUUUGAAAAAAAGUUUAUAAAGAAUAUCAAACACUGUGUUUAUCAUUUGAUAAAUGUCGUGCUUGUUAAAUCAAAUUUUUUUUAUGAUUUAUCAAACAUUACGUUUAUAAUGGCAUAAAUAUCAUUGGUAUACAUAGACUGCAUUUAUAAUUUCAAUACCUCAUGCUUGUUUAAUUAUCAAACACUAUAUUUAUAAUUUCACAAAUAUCAUGUUUAAUUAAAAGACUAUGUUUAUAAAACCUAUCAUAACGUGUAGGACUAUAAACCCAAUCGCAAGAUAUAAAAAUUUUGAGAAUAAAAAAAUAAGAAAUCACCAUCAAUCUUUUUUGUUAAGUAUGGUUGACAACUUCAAAGGUUUAUCUUUUUAAUAAAACAAGAAAUAUGAAUCCAAGAUUUAUCAAAAAAAAUUUUUGGUUUUUUGAAAAUAGAAUUGGUUUCAAGAUUAUAAUUACGCGUGGAGAAAAAUUAAUACUCACACAACUCUCAUUUUAAAAAAAUGUACCAAUUAAUCAUCCGUUAUCCUUAGUGCUAAAUAAAAGUGAUUUUAAUUUGAAAUUUAACGAUAAUUCUCUUCACUUUUUUUUAAAAAAAUUAUUUUAUUAAAAACUUUUAUUUGAAAAUAUUGUGAAAAUCUUUAAGCUAAAGAAUUACCUUAAAAUUCUUCAACAUCUAUGCAAUAUCUAUGCAGAAUUUAAAGAUAACUAUUUCUGCCUAAAAUUUGCCACAAUAUUUCUUAAAAAUAAAAAUAAUUUUCUUUACAUAUGAAAAUUGUUUUGACUCUCCAAUAUAUAGGCAGAGAAUUAAGAAUUAUUUCUCUUAGAAUGCUAUUUUAGUUUUAUUUUCAAAUCUAUAUUUUUUAACUAAAUUUUUCAUGAAAAUUUUUUUUAUGCAAACAAGGAUGAUGCCACAGUUAAUUAAGAAACAAUAGUAACAAUUAAAAAUAGGAGCAUGUAAAAUGAUCCAUACAAUAAUCUAAAAAUAAAAUGUGCAAAUGAAUGUCAUGCAAGAUAAUGAAAUGCAAUUUUGGAAUCAAAUCCUUAAAUAUAAAGAGACUACUCGAACUCCUCAAACUCUAGGUAGAAUUUAGGUACGAUUAUUUAUAUUUAAGAUCCUAUUUGUACUUUUUUCAUUGUUUUAUUUUAUUAUUUUCUUUAGGUUAAGAAAUUAUAUGAAAAACUUAAUGAAAUAAAAUUGUCCAAAUACUCCAUCGUUUAGGCAGCAAAACAAAUUACUUCAUAUAAGGCUUUUAUAUGAAUCUUUUAAAAUUUGAGAUGGCUUCAGGUGUUUGGAUUGGAUUUCAAGUUUGGAUAGAUUUAGGAUUAAAAGAUUGUUUUAAGGUUUUGGGUUAGGGUUUAUGGUUUUUCAUAAUUUUUACGAACCUCUCUAAAAAUCAUAAUAUUUAGGCAAACUUUUUAAACAAGCUCGAUUUUCAUAAUUUUUCUAAAAAUUGGAUGUUUAUUGAUUUUUUGGAGGAACGUUAAAAAAUGCAAAUGUCAAAUAUAAAUGCAUGAAUAUAAUUAAAUAUGAUAAUGUACAUGAUUUUAGAUUGCUAAUGCAUGUAACAAGUUAUUAAACAAACAAAAGGCAAAUAUAAACAAUGAUAAAUAUAUUUUUAUUAUUUAUUAUUAUUAUUUUAUUUAUUUUGUGAAGAUAUAUUUUUUUUAAUUCUCCAACAUUUGGUAGAAUUUGAAAAAAAUAAAUCUUUUAAAAUAUGAUUUGAAUUCCUUCUAGCAUGAUUGUCAAAAUCAUUUUUCUUAAACUAAUGAAGAUUUAAGUAAACAUAAGAUAAUUCAAAUAUUAAAAAUUACCAAAGUAAAUCCAUCUAUUGCAUUCAUAUGUUAUAGCUAAAAAAAAAAAACCUUUAAUCACAUGACAUCAAACAAUAAUGCUAAAUGGACACAAUCAAAUCCAAACAUUGGGAUAAUUAUUGAAACCUAAAACUUUUUGAAACCUUAUUUUCCUUCAUAGCUUGAAAAUUUUUGAGAUUUUUUUUUUCUUUAUCUUUGAAGAUAGUGAGCCUUAAAACAAAGUUUCAAUCUUUCAAAAACCACACCAUAACCUUCGUGAAUCAAAUUUUGAAACCGUAAGACCUUGUGAAACAUUUUCCUUUUUUUCAACUUUAGAAAGUUUGUAACUUUUAAACAAAGCUUACUGCUUUAUAGCCAAAACAACAUAUGAAUCCUAAAAAAAAAAAAAAUUUAAGCUUUUCAUCGAAAGAACACCAAACUGAUUCUGAAACCCAAAACCCUUUUUUUUUUCUUUUUCAUUUUGAAAGUUUUCAUUUUUAAAGUAAAGCAUCCAUUUUUAGCAUUAAGGUCGAAUUUAGAUGUUACUAGAGCCACAUUUCUACAUGAUUAUCAUGAUUUUUUUGUGCAAUCAAGCUUAGUAAGAUAUUUUGGUAACAAAUUGUACUACAAUUGUUGCAAAGAAUUCACAUCGGAACCGCAUUUUCACACCGAACAUUACCUUUUCUAGUGAAAGUUUUUUGCCCAUUACAGUUCUCUUUUCCAAUAUUAUCCUAACUUUUUCAUUUUUUCUUCCUUUUUUACUUUUAAAAUUAUAAUAAUGGAUAAAUAUAUAUUUACACUUAUAUAUAUAUGUAUAUUUAUGGACAAAUAUAUUAUUAUUAAUUUUUAACAAAUUUAUAAUUUGAUAAAAAAAUAAUUUUAUUAAUUUUUAAUUAUUUGUUAAAUUUAUAAAUAUAAAAUUUAUUAUAAAAUUUAUUAAUAUAAUUUUAAUCUAAUGUCUUUAAUAGUAAUUUUAUAUUUUUAUUAUAUUUCACCUCACUGUGAUCAUUGCUUUUACAUUCAAAUACAUAUCCCAUCUUUAAUUUUAAUCUUACCAUUAUAAUAAUCAAUCUCACAACUACAAUAAUUAAUCUCAUUUCUACUAUUAUUUUCAAUCUCAUAUAAAUUAAUCUCACCACUAGUCCAAAUGGACUUUAUUGAUCCUAACAUUUGAAAAUGGGGCUUUGAAAUGUUAUACACGAAGUCUAAGAAGAAAAAGAAAAAAGGUUAUCCUUUACCUACUAUUUCAUAUAGGCAAAAUUUUCUUUAGAAAAGAUUUUCCCUUUGUUAUCUCAACUCAAAAGCAUGCAUUUAAUAUGAGAAUCUAAGCUUUUAUAAAAUGAAAAAUGAAACUUAUGCAACAAACCUAUCACAACCGACCCAACAACCAUGAAAAGAAAUGAAUCUCAUGCCUAUAUACAUAACUCACAGAUCCAACAACCAUGAAAAGAAAUGAAUCUCAUACCUAUAUACAUAACUCACAAAUCAGGAACAAAGCAGCAAACAUGGGAAGAUAGACCUUUAAGGCUCUAGAUACAGACUAUAAAUGAAAAACGAGACAAUAGUCAUAAGCAUCCACACAUAGCAACUAUGAACAAAUGACAAAUACAAGCUAUGAUAAGGCAAAGAAAAACCCCAGCAUAGAUUACUUUUUUUCCUGUUUUGGAUACUUUGCUACUAUAUGCUACUGUUAAAAAAAAAACUCAUUUUCAUUGCUUAAUGCCAUAACCUUUAAAUGGUCAACUUUCAUUUUUAUAAGUUUUCAAAAAACUAUCAACUAAACCAAAUUCAACAAAGAACUCAUAGGUAAGGUUUUACGUUUUUGAAAGCUCAUCUUUUAAGAGUAACAGUAACUUUUUCAUUUCCUUUAUCUUGGAAAGUUUAGGACUUUCUAAAUGAAAUGACUAUAUUUUCAACAUAGCAACUGAAAAAUAUGAAAAAAAAAAGAGGAAGCCUUAAUGUUCCCAUAUGCAAUAACCAACCCAUGUUUAUGGAUUGUUUUUCAUGGAAAGCAAGCAGUUUUCUUUAUACUUAUAAAUUACAAAUGGAAAACAUGAAUGUAAUGCUAUGCCGUAAACCCCAUAUAGAAAUAUGUCAAUUUUUUUUUCAUGCUGGUAAAUCAAUCAAAAAGAGUAAAAGGUUACCUUCAUUUUAGUUCUCUAGGGUUGGUUUUUUACUUUUAGGAAAGCUCUUACAUUUCUCAUUUGCAAAGCUUUUUUUUUUUUUUUGUUCUUGUUUUUCCCCACUUAAGCCUUUUUUUUUUGCUAGUAGACUUAUUUUUCGCUAGUAGACUUAUUUUUCUUUCACUACCAAAACCUUUCUUUUUUCCUUACAAAACUUAUUUCUAUUUUUAGUUUUUCCCUCAAAAACCAUUUUUCAGCUCCUCUAUCCUUAAUUAUUGAAAACUCAUGUUUUAACUCUCUAUUCCUACACAGUUAGCAUGUAAAUCUUUUUUUUCUGUAAAGCUUUAUUUCUCUUAUUUUUUUUGUUCCAACUUCCUUCUUUUCUUACCUUUUGUUUUCAACCAACUCCCCUCUAAAAAACCUCUUUUUUUUUGCUUAAAAACCCAUCCUACUCAUUCUUUCUCAAGUAUCUUUUUUUUUUUUGUUUUUAUCAUUUUUCUGCUAGUCUCUUUAUAGCAGACCGUCUUUUUAUUUUAAUCAUAGACUCUCAGCCUUUCUUUUUGUCAAGUGUUUUUUUUUUUUCUAGCUACUAAAAAUCAUCAACUUUUUUUGUGUUUUUGGCUGCCUCUCCCAUCACAUUUUCUUUUAUCAGCUCCUAACCUUGCCUUUUAUAAAAGUACAUGUGCUCCCUUCCUCUUGUUUCAAUAAUAUCGCAUGCAAAACCCUCUUCACUUUUCUCUUUCUUUUUUGGUUGUUUUGGUCUUGUCCAAAAGGUCCAAAAAACCAUGUUUUGGGCCAUUUAAAAAAGGUCAUGUUUGGGUUUUUUCUAGACCUUUAAAUGAGCCACAUUGUAGGCUCCAAAAAAGAAUUGAUAUUUAUUUAUGUUGAGUCUUUAAAUCCUACUAGCUUAAAAUCAAAUUAAAUCAAGCUCAAUUAAUGUAAAAAUGAGCUCGAAUUUUUAAAACAAAAUCAAAACAUUUAAAUUGGUCAAAAUUGAUACAUUCAAAUCUUAAUUGCAAUUGAACAUGACCAAGUUGCUCUGAACAAAAUUACAUAUCUACAAAAUCAAAAUAUGGUACUUGUGUGCUUGUUUAUAAACCAAAACAUAGUGCUUGAUUUUUUUACUAAACACUGCGUUUAUUGUGAUAAAACGUCAUGUUUGUUAUCAAACACUGCAUUUAUAUAACAAAAAUGUUAUAGUUGUUUAUAAUUAAUUAUUUUUAUUUGUCAAAGAAUGCGAUUAUAAUGAAAAAAAGGACGUCUUUGAAUUUUAUUACAUAUAUAUAUUUUGUUCAUAAUAUACCACAUUAUUUUUAACAUAAUAAAAAAGAAAAUUUUCUUUACUUUUGUUGUUUAAUAAUUGGCAAUUAAAAUAUUUGUCUCGUGUUAUUCAUAUGUAAUGAAAAAUAUUAUAGUAAAAAGCAUUUAUUACGUAAUCUGAAAUUCUACGAAUUAAACACAAGAAUCUAAUAUUCUCGUUAUAGAAAAAAUCACUUUUUCCUCGAAAUUCACACUUUCUAAGAAUUACUUUUUCUCUUGAAAUAUAAAUUCAAGAACCAAACACCGCUAAAAGUUUUUACACUUACAAUUUUGUUGCAAGAUUACAAACAUGUUUAUGUUAAUGUGUCUCAAUUUUUUUCUUUGCUUCUUUUUUUAUUAUUGUACUAAAAUUGACAAUCUUAUUAGAUAGUUCACAUUAAAUUUUCCACCCAAAAAGGAAAAAAAAAUCUAUAUUUCUCUGUCUCUGCAAUGCCAUAUUGUGGAAUGUGGAAGAAAUAUGGAUAGUAAACAUAUGAUCCAUGAUGUUUGUUUAUGUGCUUGAAUGUGUACAUAUUACUCGUAUUUGUGUUACAUUUUGUUGCCAAGAGAUGGUGAAAAGAAAUAAAUCAUUCAUUCAACUCUUAAGAAAUGAAAGAAUUUGAAUUUGAUUACAAAGAACAAAUAAGGGAACCAGGAAAAUGGUCCCCUUGAUUGGCAAGAGAACUAGUCUAACUUUGGAGUAGACUUGGCAAUUUAAAGAACUUUGGAGUAAAGUUUACCAUUUAAAACACGCCAUGGAAGCAGUACACAAAUAUGAUAUAUUAAAAAAAGAGACGAAGGUGACAUGGGUUAAAAUUUUAGCAAAAGAUGUAUGGGUUUAACAAAAACAAAAAAUGCAUUUUGUGUUUUCUAUGUUGACACAAAUUAUAACAUGAUUUUCGUGUAAAACUUGGGAAGAAUACACGAAUUGCCAAGUCUACUUUUAAGCUAUAUGACAGAAACUAUUAGUAAAAAUACAUACACUAUUCUGCAGUUAAAUGUGAUUUAUAUAUUGCAACGAUCAUAUCCAGAGAACCAGGAUGAGUUUUCUGCAAGCUUUGAUAACUCACCAUCUUCACCUUUAUAGAAUGGUUCAAAUUCUUCUCGCCAUUGCUGAUCGCAGGCAUCGCGGAUCUCACCUGCAUCAUACCUGGCAAUGUCAAAAUUAUCAUAAGCAGGUUGUAUUGCUUUUUUAGGUAGACGUGAUUCUGUGAGUAGCUCAUUAAGAGUGCUGAUCUCAUGUUCAUGUUUUCGCUUUAAUUUAUCAAUCUGUCUGCGAGCCUUCUCAGUUUCUUGUUCUGUUUCCAUUGCUCGCUUCUGCAAUUAUUUUAAAACAGGAGGAAAUGAGAACAAUGCUAAAAGCUUCACAUUCACUCCCAAGUCCCAAAGUAGCUUUGCUAGUUAGACCAGCAAAGUGAAGUGUUCCCUACCACAUACAAGACUAAGGGAAAAAUUAAUCAAAAGCCCUAAAAAGCGGUAAUAUGUUCCAACACCCUACAAUUUUGAACCAAACAAUAUCUAACACAGAUGAUUUGCUGCAAAAGACAGUAGUAUGUUUUAAGACUUUUGGUCAUCUAAAGUACACUCUUGCACAGCAUGCCGAAAAAGUAUUUGAGGGAGAAUGGAAAACUAUGAGAUAUUGAGGAAGAUUAGUCUAACAGCAUUAUGUUAUUUAUGAAUUCUCGGCAUUUUAAAUUACAAGCAUUUCAUCUGGAAAUUCCUAGCCUUCACCAAAGAGGAAAAAAAUAAUUUUAUGCAUUACAUACAGAUGAAAUUGACUAAAUGGAAUGUUGAAGUCCUCAAUUUUUAGUACUUUUUCUGUACAAAAUGUGUACAUAAAAUGUCCAUUUACCUUUUCAUCAAUUUGUUUACCUUUCCAAUAAAAGAACCAAAGAGUAACCAGAUGAUGACACAAGCGUCACCAAGAAGUUCUCUGAGCAACUAUUAUAUGAGGUAAACAUGUAAGAUAUAAACCCAUCUCAGCUUUAAAAGCAACUUCUUGACAUAUUAGCUUGUGCAUUCUAAACUUGAGGUUAGAUCUCUGAAUCAUAAUUUAUAUCCAAAAGUUAAUUGAGACCUCAUGAGCCUCAUAAAUGGAUGUUUUGUCAAAGGCAGCAUGGUUUAAGGGGCUUUGCAUUGGCAAAUACUAAUAAUAAUAUAUGUUUGUUAUAGUUGACUAGCAGGGUUUACAACAAAAUUUAUUUAUCACGAGGCAAUGUAUAAAGAACAUAUAUCAAUACAUAAAUACAGAUAUAUGAGAGACAACACUGAGAGUGCUUAUUUGUAAAAUGAAGGAAAGCAAAUAAUUUUCACAACAAAACUAAUCACACUCCCUCUAUCCACUCAUCUUGUCACUUUUGAACUCUGAUAUUGUCCCAUCAAAAUUUUAAUUUGAAAAUAAAAAAAUUGAACGACAAUGUUUGCUACUUUACUCUUGCAUCAUAACCAUUAAAAGUAACAUGACAGACUGAACAGACACUUUAACAUCUAAAAUUCCAAUCCAAUAGUUAUCCCAGCUUAGCUACCAGUUUUCAUUUUGGGAUGAAAACUUAAUAUGUAACAAAAAUCUUAAUAUCAAGCAGAGAAGUUAAAGUUGAUGAAAACAUAUAAGUAACUUUACUUACUUGAGCAGCAGCCACAGCUUCUUCUGCUUCUUUUAACCGUACAAGCAAUUCGCCUGCAGCCUGGACUGCUUCAGCAGUAUCCCUCAAUUGAGCCUGGAGUCCUCUAUUCUCAUCCCUAAGAUAUUGCCUCUCCUUUUCCCUUUCCACUUUCAGUGCAGAAAUUUCAGCAGCAAGGGCAUUUAUGAACUUAGAUUCAGCACCCCUGACCCCUGCCCUAGCAGCUGCCUUUUUAACAUCAUCUAUUCCCUCUUGAAUCUUCCUAUGCCUUGCAAGCAAUUGCAUGUGUUUUUCUUCAAGAUCUGCAUACUGUUCAAGCAUUGUUGCAUGUCCCACCAUAGCCAUCUGCAUUGCUUCCUUCAAUUCUUCUGCACAUUUCUUCUCCAUAUCUAGUUCCUGCUUCCUUUUUUCAGCCAGCAAUUGGCUAGCAUCAAGUUCAGUCCUUAAUUCCUCUACAAGAGAAAUCCAUUUGCUCUCUGCCUCAGUCCACCGAAUUCUCUCUUGUUCAAAUUUCUCUUCAGUACUCUCCUCAUUUGUCUCUGGUAUUGCACUUAGAGGUGGAGGCAUAUUGGGCUCACAUGAAUAUGUCAACUGCAGUAAAGAAUUUUGUCUUCGAGCUGAUGUGGAAGAAGAGUCUAUAUAAUAUUGUAACUGGUUUCUUAAAUCCUGAAUUUCUUCU